CCCUCCCAGCCUGGGCAUAAGGGCGGUAACACAUUUUAAAUUAGACCUGUUCCUUUUCCAUUCAUGAGCUGUCAGACUGCUCACAAGGGGUCCAACCUGGCAUCCCAUCUGGGGCACAGUGAUGAGGGUGGCCAGACCCCAGGCCCAGGUGGGCACAUAUUCAUGAGUUGGGUCUGAGAAGGUUCUGAUCCACUUUAGAGUUGUCCUAGGGCAGGCGUGAUAGGGAAGAGGAAUUUCCAGUGCAGCACAAUUUGAAGCUUUUCUGAAGCUCUGGAAGAAGGCACGCCACUGAAGUCUGUUUUUCCCUUGUCAUCUUUAAUUCAUUACCUGGCACAAAGGAAAGCGGAGACAUAUUUCUGACGGGUUUUUUUAUUAGUCAUUACAGUGUGGUGAGUGUGUCAUCUUUCUGAGUGCUCACAUGCAAUGCCAUGUCACUGUGCAGCCUGGCUCCCAACGUGGCCCCUUGGUGUCCCAGUUUUCACUCCCUGAGGGCCAAGGACAUGCCCUUUCUGUUUGGAAAUGUCAACCUGGUCUCAUUGGCUUCCCUUCUUUCCCCAUUCUUCCAGAAAAGUAGACCUGGGAGGAAAGACUGGGUUUUCCAGCGCCUGCUGACUUUCUUGGAAAUGAUGGGCAUAGUGCCCAAUUUGCUAUUGCCCUAGUUUCCAAUGGCUACUUCUAAAGAGGAAAGCAAUCUUCUCCUUUCUUGCAGGCUGAAACAAGGAGGAGAUGAAGAGAUUUUCAUGAUCAAGAGCCACCCUUUCCAGCAAGAAUGACCACCAAUGGCUUCAUGGAAGAAGUGGCAUUUGGAGAAUAGUAUGAUUUUGACAGGUAGAGCUGGGAGAGGAGGACACUUCUGAAUGAGGAAGCAGCAUGUUCAAAGACCCACGGGCCACUUGGUUGCACAGGCUGAACCAUAUUCACCUCUAGGAAGCCAUUCAGUAACAGUGUGGAAUUGGCCACAUGGCAGCCCUGCUGGAAAGCACAGGUGGGAUGCUGAUUCACAGAUCAAGACAUUUAAGCAGACACAGAUGGACUCCCAAGUAACCUUGGGAUCCACUUUCACAUCCCUCAUUGCCUCCAGGCCUAUAAUGAGAGCUACAUCCCAGUAUAUCCCAGAUGGGGAAGGAUAAACCUGGAUCUGAACAUCAGAAGAGUUGCAAGAAAAUUGACAGAAGUGUGCAGAGCAUGUAAGGAAGGGAGUCCUAUGGGUAUUAGUUGGAGAAGGAUUAAAUGCAAAACUCGAUCAAGGAGAAUGUGAUGAUAUGGGUGGAUUCAGUCAAGAUUCAGGAUUUACUGUGCUGGCUUGAGCACCUGGGAGUGGUCUUCAUAACUACGCUGGCUAGCAGAAGUCUCAUUCAACAGUGGCUGGCAGUUAAUGAGGACUUUUCUAGCAUUUUAAAGAAAAGGAAACUGAAGGCUUAGGAAGUUGGGAAUGUUGGAGAGGAUCUAUUCUGUGCAACAUUCUUAACCACGCCUUAACCACAUUCCCCAGGAAGGCCAGAGGACACUCCCUUCAAAGGCCAUAAGAAUUCCAUUAGUGAAAUGUUCACAGGCAUCCUGAAAAAGCACUUCUUGGCUGUUUUCUGUAAGCAGGAAAUGACACUGGGAGAGGCUGCAAUGGAAUUAAGCUCCAUGAUUGUAAUGAAAAAAAAUGGAAUCCCAGAGUAGUAGAGGCCAGAUGUCUCAAAGGCACGAGGGACACAAUUGCACUAAUGAGCUGCAGGAUUGGUGUGGUAAUUGGAGCGUUUUAUCCUCUAAGAGUCUGUGGCACUGGCUAACUAAUCAUGGAGUGCCUAGGAUUGCAAUAGAUAUGUAGACAAUUAGGACACUGCUAGACUCAGAAAGCUUCUCAGUCUGGUGGGCAGAAUCACACUGGGAAUUUACCUCGUGUUCAGACCCCAAAACCCAGAGACCAGAAUCCCCUGGCUUUGAGAAAGGGAGGAACAGUCUCUUCGGACAAGUGCCCUGCAAUGUGGCCAUAGGCAUAUGAAUCUUUCUCCAAUCCUCCAGAGAGACCAGAGACCAUUUAGCAGAAUGAGAAGAAGAAAUAUCUAGACCUUCCAGGGACUAUUUCUGAACUCAUGCUAACCACCAGAAUCUCAAAUUGCCACUGUAGUGCACAAGUCAGAAUGAGAGCUUAU
ensembl:lncRNA